GACGAACGCUGGCGGCGUGCCUAAUACAUGCAAGUCGAACGCACUGGGGACGGGUGAGUAACACGUGGGUCACCUCCCAUCAGAGGGGAUAACACUUGGAAACAGGUGCUAAACCGAUAUUUAUGGAUGGACCCGCGGUGCAUUAGCUCGUUGGUGGGGUAACGGCCCACCAAGGCCACGAUGCAUAGCCGACCUGGUGGGGUGAUCGGCCACAUGGGGACGGGGACACGGCCCAGACUCCUACGGGAGGCAGCAGUAGGGAAUCUUCGGCAAUGGACGAAAGCCUGACCGGGCAAGGCCGCGUGAGUGAAGAAGGUUUUGGGAUCGUAAGACUCUGUUGUUAGAGAAGCGGUAUCUAACCAGAAAGCCACGGCUAACUACGUGCCAGCCGCCGCGGUAAUUC
rnacentral:rRNA from 1 species